GCGGCGGACGGGUGAGUAAUGCCUAGGAAUCUGCCUAUUAGUGGGGGACAACGUUUCGAAAGGAACGCUAAUACCGCAUACGUCCUACGGGAGAAAGCAGGGGACCUUCGGGCCUUGCGCUAAUAGAUGAGCCUAGGUCGGAUUAGCUAGUUGGUGAGGUAAAGGCUCACCAAGGCGACGAUCCGUAACUGGUCUGAGAGGAUGAUCAGUCACACUGGAACUGAGACACGGUCCAGACUCCUACGGGAGGCAGCAGUGGGGAAUAUUGGACAAUGGGCGAAAGCCUGAUCCAGCCAUGCCGCGUGUGUGAAGAAGGUCUUCGGAUUGUAAAGCACUUUAAGUUGGGAGGAAGGGCAUUAACCUAAUACGUUAGUGUUUUGACGUUACCGACAGAAUAAGCACCGGCUAACUUCGUGCCAGCAGCCGCGGUAAUACGAAGGGUGCAAGCGUUAAUCGGAAUUACUGGGCGUAAAGCGCGCGUAGGUGGUUUGUUAAGUUGAAUGUGAAAGCCCCGGGCUCAACCUGGGAACUGCAUCCAAAACUGGCAAGCUAGAGUAUGGCAGAGGGUGGUGGAAUUUCCUGUGUAGCGGUGAAAUGCGUAGAUAUAGGAAGGAACACCAGUGGCGAAGGCGACCACCUGGGCUAAUACUGACACUGAGGUGCGAAAGCGUGGGGAGCAAACAGGAUUAGAUACCCGGGUAGUCCACGCCGUAAACGAUGUCGACUAGCCGUUGGGAUCCUUGAGAUCUUAGUGGCGCAGCUAACGCAUUAAGUCGACCGCCUGGGGAGUACGGCCGCAAGGUUUAAAACUCAAAUGAAUUGACGGGGGCCCGCACAAGCG
rnacentral:rRNA from 1 species